UUCAUUCUUUUUUUAGGUCUAUAACAUCGAGUAGAAAUUAAAACAAUAGCUGCAUAAAAUGUCAGUAAACCACUAUUCGUUCGCUUAUAAUAUUAUAUUAUAAUACAUGUGUUUCGGAAGACGUAAUGUUUAAGGAAACAGGAUUACGGUUAUAUCAAAAUCCGACUGCGUUGAAUUGAUUUACAAGAUAAGCCGUUCAGAGUUUGGGUACGGGGUAAAAAAAAUACUUAUGGAUUUUAAUCAACAUUUCCAUGCGAGUGGACAAGUUCUACGCUAGUAUUCAGAUGAGCAUGUUUUCAGAAUAUGUCAACAC